CCUACGGGAGGCUGCAGUGAGGAAUAUUGGUCAAUGGGCGGGAGCCUGAACCAGCCAAGCCGCGUGAGGGAAGAAGGUACAGCGUAUUGUAAACCUCUUUUGUCAGGGAACAAAGGCGGGGACUAGUCCCCGGAUGAGGGUACCUGAAGAAAAAGCAUCGGCUAACUCCGUGCCAGCAGCCGCGGUAAUACGGAGGAUGCGAGCGUUAUCCGGAUUUAUUGGGUUUAAAGGGUGCGCAGGGGGCCUGUUAAGUCAGCGGUAAAAGCCCGGGGCUCAACCCCGGCGAGCCGUUGAAACUGGCGGGCUGGAGUUGGAGAGAAGUACGCGGAAUGCGCGGUGUAGCGGUGAAAUGCUUAGAUAUCGCGCAGAACCCCGAUUGCGAAGGCAGCGUACCGGCUCCACACUGACGCUGAGGCACGAAAGCGUGGGUAUCGAACAGGAUUAGAUACCCGGGUAGUC
rnacentral:rRNA from 1 species